rnacentral:misc_RNA from 1 species
GAUGAAGAACGUAGUGAAAUGCGAUAAGUAAUGUGAAUUGCAGAAUUCAGUGAAUCAUCGAAUCUUUGAACGCACAUUGCGCCCGCCAGUAUUCUGGCGGGCAUGCCUGUUCGAGCGUCAUUUCAACCCUCAAGCCCAGCUUGGUGUUGGGGAUCGGCACAGGCGCCCUCGGGCGCCAGCCGUCCCCUAAAUCUAGUGGCGGUCCCGCUGCAGCCUCCUCUGCGUAGUAGUUUUCUCCUCGCAAGGGCAGCUCGGUGGCGACCUCGCCGUAAAACCCCCAACUUCUGAAAGGUUGACCUCGAAUCAGGUAGGAAUACCCGCUGAACUUAAGCAUAUCAAUAAGCGGAGGA